AUUGAACGCUGGCGGCAGGCUUAACACAUGCAAGUCGAACGGUAACAUAAAGAAGCUUGCUUCUUUGAUGACGAGUGGCGGACGGGUGAGUAAUGCUUGGGAAUCUAGCUUAUGGAGGGGGAUAACUACGGGAAACUGUAGCUAAUACCGCGUAGAAUCGAGAGAUGAAAGUGUGGGACCUUCGGGCCACAUGCCAUAGGAUGAGCCCAAGUGGGAUUAGGUAGUUGGUGAGGUAAAGGCUCACCAAGCCGACGAUCUCUAGCUGGUCUGAGAGGAUGACCAGCCACACUGGGACUGAGACACGGCCCAGACUCCUACGGGAGGCAGCAGUGGGGAAUAUUGCGCAAUGGGGGCAACCCUGACGCAGCCAUGCCGCGUGAAUGAAGAAGGCCUUCGGGUUGUAAAGUUCUUUCGGUAGCGAGGAAGGCAUUUAGUUUAAUAAACUAAGUGAUUGACGUUAACUACAGAAGAGCACCG
rnacentral:rRNA from 1 species